rnacentral:rRNA from 1 species
CCUACGGGCGGCAGCAGUGGGGAAUAUUGGACAAUGGGGGGAACCCUGAUCCAGCCAUGCCGCGUGUGUGAAGAAGGCCCUCGGGUUGUAAAGCACUUUCAGUGAGGAAGAACGCCUGGUGGUUAAUACCCAUCAGGAAAGACAUCACUCACAGAAGAAGCACCGGCUAACUCCGUGCCAGCAGCCGCGGUAAUACGGAGGGUGCGAGCGUUAAUCGGAAUUACUGGGCGUAAAGCGCGCGUAGGUGGCUUGAUAAGCCGGUUGUGAAAGCCCCGGGCUCAACCUGGGAACGGCAUCCGGAACUGUCAAGCUAGUGUGCAGGAGAGGAAGGUAGAAUUCCCGGUGUAGCGGUGAAAUGCGUAGAGAUCGGGAGGAAUACCAGUGGCGAAGGCGGCCUUCUGGACUGACACUGACACUGAGGUGCGAAAGCGUGGGUAGCAAACAGGAUUAGAUACCCCGGUAGUC